CUGAUGCAGCCAUGCCGCGUGUGUGAAGAAGGCCUUCGGGUUGUAAAGCACUUUCAGCAGUGAGGAAGGCGGGUACGUUAAUAGCGUAUUCGUUUGACGUUAGCUGCAGAAGAAGCACCGGCUAACUCCGUGCCAGCAGCCGCGGUAAUACGGAGGGUGCGAGCGUUAAUCGGAAUUACUGGGCGUAAAGCGCAUGCAGGUGGUUCGUUAAGUCAGAUGUGAAAGCCCGGGGCUCAACCUCGGAACUGCAUUUGAAACUGGCGGACUAGAGUACUGUAGAGGGGGGUAGAAUUUCAGGUGUAGCGGUGAAAUGCGUAGAGAUCUGAAGGAAUACCGGUGGCGAAGGCGGCCCCCUGGACAGAUACUGACACUCAGAUGCGAAAGCGUGGGGAGCAAACAGGAUUAGAUACCCUGGUAGUCCACGCCGUAAACGAUGUCUACUUGGAGGUUGUGGCCUUGAGCCGUGGCUUUCGGAGCUAACGCGUUAAGUAGACCGCCUGGGGAGUACGGUCGCAAGAUUAAAACUCAAAUGAAUUGACGGGGGCCCGCACAAGCGGUGGAGCAUGUGGUUUAAUUCGAUGCAACGCGAAGAACCUUACCUACUCUUGACAUCCAGAGAAGCCAGCGGAGACGCAGGUGUGCCUUCGGGAGCUCUGAGACAGGUGCUGCAUGGCUGUCGUCAGCUCGUGUUGUGAAAUGUUGGGUUAAGUCCCGCAACGAGCGCAACCCUUAUCCUUGUUUGCCAGCGAGUAAUGUCGGGAACUCC
rnacentral:rRNA from 1 species